UACGUAGGGUGCGAGCGUUGUCCGGAAUUAUUGGGCGUAAAGAGCUCGUAGGCGGUUUGUCGCGUCGACUGUGAAAACCCGAGGCUUAACCUCGGGCCUGCAGUCGAUACGGGCAGACUAGAGUUCGGUAGGGGAGACUGGAAUUCCCGGUGUAGCGGUGAAAUGCGCAGAUAUCAGGAGGAACACCGGUGGCGAAGGCGGGUCUCUGGGCCGAUACUGACGCUGAGGAGCGAAAGCGUGGGGAGCGAACAGG
rnacentral:rRNA from 1 species